UACGUAGGAGGCGAGCGUUGUCCGGAUUUACUGGGCGUAAAGCGCGUGUAGGCGGUGCGAUAAGUCUGCUGUGAAAGCGCUCGGCUUAACCGGGCGAGGUCGGUGGAUACUGUCGUACUUGAGGACGGUAGAGGGGGGUGGAAUUCCCGGUGUAGUGGUGAAAUGCGUAGAUAUCGGGAGGAACACCAGCGGCGAAGGCGGCCCCCUGGGCCGCUCCUGACGCUGAGACGCGAAGGCCAGGGUAGCGAACGGG
rnacentral:rRNA from 1 species